rnacentral:rRNA from 1 species
AGGACGAACGCUGGCGGCGUGCUUAACACAUGCAAGUCGAGCGGAAAGGCCCUUCGGGGUACUCGAGCGGCGAACGGGUGAGUAACACGUGAGCAAUCUGCCCUUAGCUUCGGGAUAGCCCCGGGAAACCGGGAUUAAUACCGAAUAUGACCUCGGCCGACAUCGGCUUUGGUGGAAAGUUUUUCGGCUAGGGAUGAACUCGCGGCCUAUCAGCUUGUUGGUGGGGUAAUGGCCUACCAAGGCGACGACGGGUAGCCGGCCUGAGAGGGCGACCGGCCACACUGGGACUGAGACACGGCCCAGACUCCUACGGGAGGCAGCAGUGGGGAAUAUUGCGCAAUGGGCGAAAGCCUGACGCAGCGACGCCGCGUGGGGGAUGAAGGCCUUCGGGUUGUAAACCCUUUCAGCAGGGACGAAGCGAGAGUGACGGUACCUGCAGAAGAAGCGCCGGCUAACUACGUGCCAGCAGCCGC